UUCUCAAUGCGGGAAUCGAACCCGGGUCGUUGGUGGUCGAAAACCAACGGGUUAGACCAUCCUUCCACCAACUCCCCGA